UGCCAGCAGCCGCGGUAAUACGGAGGGUGCAAGCGUUGUCCGGAUUUAUUGGGUUUAAAGGGUGCAUAGGUGGGCCUUUAAGUCAGUGGUGAAAGCCUACAGCUUAACUGUAGAAAUGCCAUUGAUACUGGAGGUCUUGAGUAUAGAUAAGGUAGGCGGAAUUGAUGAUGUAGCGGUGAAAUGCAUAGAUAUCAUCAGGAACUCCGAUUGCGAAGGCAGCUUACUGGUCUAUAACUGACGCUGAGGCACGAAAGCGUGGGGAGCGAACAGGAUUAGAUA
rnacentral:rRNA from 1 species